AGCAUAUCAAUAAGCGGAGGAAAAGAAACUAACAAGGAUUCCCUUAGUAGCGGCGAGCGAAGCGGGAAAAGCCCAGAACCGAAUCCCAACGGCUUGUUCUGUUGGGAAAUGUGGUGUUUGGUAUACUCCUUACGGUGCAUNGGAGUCGUUCUAAGUCCACGUGAUUGNNGCUUAAAAGCCCAGAGAGGGUGUAAGGCCCGUGAGAACGAUACAGUGUAUUCAUUGGAGUGUUCCUAGAGUCGGAUUGUUUGGGAAUGCAGUCCAAAGAGGGUGGUAAGCUCCAUCCAAGGCUAAAUACCACAUGANUCCGAUAUCGAACAAGUACAAGAGGGAAAGUUGAAAAGAACUUUGAAAAUAGAGUUCAAUAAAGCGUGAAACCCCUCAGAGGUAAACAGGCCNAGCCGAAGGAGGGGCGUANNUUUGNCUUCCGCUUUACUCUUGCUGAUGUUGAGCGCUUNNGNCNNCCUGCCCACGUUGGUGUGUAAUGAGCUGGUGGUGCAUUCUGNAUUUGUACAACAUGUACCAAUGGCCCGAUUGCCUACCUCAUCUCGCGAAAAUUUAAUCCUUUNCUUUCACUUCNCNUNNNNGUUUCNUACUACCCCNUGACUCNCACUGAUGCUUGNCUCCUUGGUCCAUGUGUCNUAACUGGUCGUGCUGNNUGCUUACGUUAUCACCACACAUUCAUUCCUGCAGUAUAGGUUGUGUCUAUACCCGACCCGCGACGACGAUCAGUGGCUAGAUUGGCCUUAUCAUACGGGGAAAGUUAAAUAGUUCUUUGAACUAUAAUUUAUAGACUCUGUCUAUAGCGCCGUUCGAACACUGAGAAAUGCGAUGCAGGACAAUGUGGUAUACAUGUCGGUGCUGGUUGCUGGUGCUCGGUAUUGACUCAUAAGAGAUGGUGCCGGGUUGUCGGUGGUCGGUAUUGGCCUCUGUAUGCUACAAGAAUGAAUCCGUGGUGAUUAUGUAAGCAAUCUGCCUGACCCGUCUUGAAACACGGACCAAGGAGUUUAGCAUGUGCGCAAGUCAUGGGGUCGUACGAAACCUAAAGGCGAAGUGAAAGUAAAGGCUUACAUUUUCGUGAGCUAAGGUAGGAUCUCGGUUUCUAUGUACAUUUUAGUACAAGUACUGAGCGCACUACCAGCUCGUCCAAUGCUUUAUUAAGCAGGGCGACGCAAGAGCGCACACGCUGAGACCCGAAAGAUGGUGAACUAUGCUUGUGUAGGCUGAAGCCAGAGGAAACUCUGGUGGAGGGCCGUAGCGGUUCUGACGUGCAAAUCGAUCGUCAAACAUGAGUAUAGGGGCGAAAGACUAAUCGAACCAUCUAGUAGCUGGUUCCCUCCGAAGUUUCCCUCAGGAUAGCUGGUGCUCGAGAAACAAACAGUUUUAUCCGGUAAAGCGAAUGAUUAGAAGUAUUGGGGAAAAACAUUCCUCAACUUAUUCUCAAACUUUAAAUGGGUGAGAAGCUGAACUCUCUUAAAUUGGAGUUGGGCAUAGAAUGUGAGUGCCUAGUGGGCCAUUUUUGGUAAGCAGAACUGGCGCUGUGGGAUGAACCAAACGUCUGGUUAAGGAGCCUAACACGACGCUCAUAAGAUACCACAAAAGGUGUUGGUUGAUAUAGACAGCAGGACGGUGGCCAUGGAAGUUGGAAUCCGCUAAGGAGUGUGUAACAACUCACCUGCCGAAUCAACUAGCCCUGAAAAUGGAUGGCGCUGGAGCGUUGGUCCUAUACCAGACCGAUACCGCAAGUCGCAUAAAUUGGAAGCGGUAUCGAGUAGGAGGGCGCUGUGGUGAGCAUUGAAGCUUCGGUCGUGAGACUGGGUGGAGCCGCCACGGGUGCAGAUCUUGGUGGUAGUAGCAAAUAUUCAAGUGAGAACCUUGAA
rnacentral:rRNA from 1 species